AGGCGGGGACGACCCCGCUGCUUCAAUCGCAUCCGGGGACGGCCCCA
rnacentral:ncRNA from 1 species